GACGAACGCUGGCGGCGUGCUUAACACAUGCCAGUCGAACGGAAAGGCCCCCUUGUGGGGUACUCGAGUGGCGAACGGGUGAGUAACACGUGAGUAACCUACCCUUGACUUUGGGAUAACUUCAGGAAACUGGGGCUAAUACCGGAUAGGAGCUCCUGCUGCAUGGUGGGGGUUGGAAAGUUUCGGCGGUUGGGGAUGGACUCGCGGCUUAUCAGCUUGUUGGUGGGGUAGUGGCUCACCAAGGCUUUGACGGGUAGCCGGCCUGAGAGGGUGACCGGCCACAUUGGGACUGAGAUACGGCCCAGACUCCUACGGGAGGCAGCAGUGGGGAAUAUUGCACAAUGGGCGGAAGCCUGAUGCAGCAACGCCGCGUGCGGGAUGACGGCCUUCGGGUUGUAAACCGCUUUCGCCUGUGACGAAGCGUGAGUGACGGUAAUGGGUAAAGAAGCACCGGCUAUCUACGUG
rnacentral:rRNA from 1 species